rnacentral:rRNA from 1 species
GAUCAUGGCUCAGGAUGAACGCUAGCUACAGGCUUAACACAUGCAAGUCGAGGGGCAGCAUGACCUAGCAAUAGGUUGAUGGCGACCGGCGCACGGGUGAGUAACACGUAUCCAACCUACCGGGUUAUUCCGGGAUAGCCUUUCGAAAGAAAGAUUAAUACCGGAUAGUAUAACGAGAAGGCAUCUUCUUGUUUAUUUAAAAGAAAUUUCGUAUAACCGAAUGGGGAGUGCGUUCCCAUUAGUUUGUUUGGCGGGGUAACGGGCCC